UUGCUAUUUAUUUUUGUUUUGGGGUCAAAUUUGCAUACAAUCAAAGGUUCAAUUCAACUAGGGUUAAAAAACCUUAUUAUCUAUAACUUUGGUAGAAUCAACCGAUUUCAAUUGGAUCAAACUAAAUAAAGAUGCAAAGCCUAUAUUGAUAUAUCUACUGUAACAUUCCCUUCAAAACAUCAGUUUCUACCCAGAAAGCAUAAUAAUAUGCAUUACCUGCAGAUAUUAGCUCUCUGUAGUCGAGCAAUGCGAUAAUAAAAAGAAAGUCUAUGAUCGCGUGAAGGUGGUGACUCUGGUGGCGAGAGCUGGAACCGAUUGAAGCGUGAAGGUUUUGAUGGAGUCGGACACGCAGGCCGCAGAGGAAAACUGGAGUCCUGCGCGUGGCGGCUGGAGUGUGGGAGAGAUGAAGUUUGAGGAAUUAGGGUUAGAAAGUUAGAGAUGGGAGGGACCGAAUGAGAUUUUAAAAUU
rnacentral:lncRNA from 1 species